ensembl:lncRNA
UUUCUAGCAAUUUCUGAGUGAAAUUAGUUUCUACACCAAUUUUUUACUCUGCAGUCAGUAUAUCCGGCUUAAUGCACCACGAAGUAGAUCUUCAAGCGACUGUAAUGAGACGUGUUUGUUAAACCACAAUCUACAUGGCAACAACCGUGUUGUAUCUGUCAGAGGUCAAGCGUGCAUGUAGCUUGCCAGCCGAGAUGUGACAAGGGAAUUUGAGUAAGAGGAUCUUUCCUGAUCAUAUCAGAGUUAAUAGCUUGGGACCCAUGGGAAAUAAAGUGCCUCAGCACAAUAAGCUCAAAUCAAUACUAUGAAAAAGAAUUUAUGAAAGAUGCACAAUGUGGCAUUUCAUCCUCCCAUUCACAGAUAAGCACCAUGCUGACUGUCAUCUGAGAAAGCUCAGAUGUUUGUGGAAGUCUGGAGAUGUUGGGAAGAUCAUUCUGAUGGGGAACGAAAGCUGUCUCUGCUGCUGGUGUGCUGGUGGUCCCAUCAGGCUUCUUAACUAGCCUAAUCAGCAAGACUGCCUUGGUAAAGAAUCUUUACCUUUCAAGUUCUGCUGGUAAACAAAAUCUUUGCCAUUCAAGUUCUCCUGGUAAACAGCAUGGUUAUAGAAAACUGUUCAAAAUCAUCUGGCCCAAACUCUGUUAUCCAAAAUGAUGAUGCUAAAAAUGCUAAAACCAGGGUUGUGGACUUGAGGUAUACAGUUUGUCUAAUAAACAACCUCUUUUCAUCUUUUGUUGGUUCGUUUGAUUCUCUUGAGGUAAAAUUAUAAAAUUAAUUUAUAUUUCUUUCUCUGUCUGACAUGAUGAAUUCAGGACAUGGCAAAGGAUGCAAAGCCUGAGGGUUGUGAUGGAGGGGGGGAGAUACUGAGUAAGGAAAGGGAGAAGGGAGGUGCACCAUCUGUAGACAAGUCCCUCAGCAGAGUUACCAGUCACCCCCAUCUGUCACGCUGUGUCCCCCUCUCGUCCCCCUGGGCCAAGCUAUUCAACCACUAACAGAACCGGCACUGGACAAAGAUCAGGAGCUUUCCAGCACAUAAACGCUGACCCUUUAGUAAAACAGACCUAAAUGAAACAUUGGCCUACAGACAGGUAGAAUAGACAUAAAAGAAAUGCAGGGAAUAGUUCACCCAGAAAAGAAAAUCCUGUCAUUAUUUACUCAUCCUCAUGAAAGUCCAAACCCGUAUGUUGUUUUUUUUUUAAAGUGGAAUGGAAAAGGAGAAAUUUUGAAUGAUCUUUCAUAGUGACGUUGGUCAGCACUAAAAAGGACAAAAUGAAUAAAAUAAAAUACCAUAAACAGUAUAUAUAUAUUUUGUGCACGAUAUUGCAAGUCCUGUGAAUUUCAAUUAUAUAAACUGUAAUUAUAGAAAAAUAUAAUUAUUGAACAUGCA